GUUAAUUAUCUGCGCGUCGGUUAUCACAUCAAAGCAAAUAAACAGACGAGCAUUCGUUAAUGUACCAGGCUUAGAAUCUUUCACUGACGAUGGGGAUAAUAGAAAAGCGGAAUUUGACAUUAGAAGUAUAUUAGCGGCAAGACAAUGGGAAUUACCAUACACUUGGCACAAAUUUAAAGUUCCAUUGCGUAAAAAUGAUAUUAAAAGCAAACUGAAAUGCAAGUGUAGAAAUUGGAAGUCUUCCAAUUGGAGAUCAGGAGAUAAUUUUGAUACAGACAUCAGCUUCCAAGAUUUACAAAAAGAUAGUAAUAUUUAUCUAGCCAGCCAGCAUCCGAUUAGUGUGACAGAAAAUAGUAAAUUAAUUUUGAUAUUUAUUUAAUCUGUAUGUCUUACCGUUGGUUUC